rnacentral:rRNA from 1 species
AUUGAACGCUGGCGGCAUGCCUUACACAUGCAAGUCGAACGGUAACGCGGGGCAACCUGGCGACGAGUGGCGAACGGGUGAGUAAUGCAUCGGAACGAGCCCAGUAGUGGGGGAUAGCCCGGCGAAAGCCGGAUUAAUACCGCAUACGACCUACGGGUGAAAGCGGGGGACCGUAAGGCCUCGCGCUAUUGGAGCGGCCGAUGUCAGAUUAGGUUGUUGGUGGGGUAAAAGCCUACCAAGCCGACGAUCUGUAGCUGGUCUGAGAGGACGACCAGCCACACUGGGACUGAGACACGGCCCAGACUCCUACGGGAGGCAGCAGUGGGGAAUUUUGGACAAUGGGGGCAACCCUGAUCCAGCCAUGCCGCGUGCGGGAAGAAGGCCUUCGGGUUGUAAACCGCUUUUGUCAGGGAAGAAACGCUCUGGGCUAAUACCCCGGGGUAAUGACGGUACCUGAGGAAUAAGCACCGGCUAACUACGUGCCAGCCGCCGCGAUAAAAC